rnacentral:rRNA from 1 species
AUUGAACGCUGGCGGCAUGCUUUACACAUGCAAGUCGAACGGUAACAGGGAGCUUGCUCCGCUGACGAGUGGCGAACGGGUGAGUAAUGCGUCGGAACGUGCCGAGUAGUGGGGGAUAACGCAUCGAAAGGUGUGCUAAUACCGCAUACGUACUGAGGUAGAAAGUGGGGGACCUUCGGGCCUCACGCUAUUCGAGCGGCCGACGUCUGAUUAGCUAGUUGGUGAGGUAAAGGCUCACCAAGGCGACGAUCAGUAGCGGGUCUGAGAGGAUGAUCCGCCACACUGGGACUGAGACACGGCCCAGACUCCUACGGGAGGCAGCAGUGGGGAAUUUUGGACAAUGGGCGCAAGCCUGAUCCAGCCAUGCCGCGUGUCUGAAGAAGGCUUUCGGGUUGUAAAGGACUUUUGUCCGGGAGCAAAUGCCUGGUGUUAAUAGCAUCGGGAGCUGAGAGUACCGGAAGAAUAAGCACCGGCUAACUACGUGCCAGCAGCCGCCGCCGUAA